UACGGAGGGUGCAAGCGUUGUCCGGAUUUAUUGGGUUUAAAGGGUGCGUAGGCGGCCCGUUAAGUCAGUGGUGAAAGCCAACAGCUCAACUGUUGAACUGCCAUUGAUACUGACGGGCUUGAGUACAGACGAGGUAGGCGGAAUUGAAGAUGUAGCGGUGAAAUGCAUAGAUAUCUUCAAGAACACCGAUUGCGUAGGCAGCUUACUAGGCUGUAACUGACGCUGAGGCACGAAAGCGUGGGGAGCGAACAGG
rnacentral:rRNA from 2 species